GUGUCAGCAGCCGCGGUAAUACGAAGGGGGCUAGCGUUGUUCGGAAUUACUGGGCGUAAAGCGCGCGCAGGCGGUCUUCCAAGUCAGUGGUGAAAGCCCGGAGCUCAACUCCGGAACUGCCAUUGAAACUGUGAGACUUGAGUAUGAGAGAGGUGAGUGGAAUUCCCAGUGUAGAGGUGAAAUUCGUAGAUAUUGGGAAGAACACCGGUGGCGAAGGCGGCUCACUGGCUCAUUACUGACGCUCAGGCGCGACAGCGUGGGGAUCAAACAGGAUUAGAAACCCUAGUAGUCC
rnacentral:rRNA from 1 species